GAUAGGUUUUGCUGUGUGGGUGAGCCUAGCAGAAACUUCAGUAAUCUGGAAAUCUGUCAUAGCUGAUGCUCCUGCAUAUGUUGGGGAAAGAGACGUUUGAUUUUAAUUCGUCAUGGCCGUGAUUUCUUGUUGCAUCAACUGGAGGAAUACAUGAAGACUUCUAUCUCACAGCUUGAACCAAAAGUUCAGAUCGUGAUCCUUUGGAAUUUUUUCCAUGCAUCAGUUAAAUGUGGUAUCAUGCAAUGGACAUCAACUUGGUCAUGAAAGGAGGAACCACGCCAGACGUAAAAUAAGGGAAGUACACGUGAAAUUAAACCCCUGGCCACAGAAAUGAAAUCCUUUAAGGGAGAGAAGUGACGACAUGCAGUUGCAUGGAAGCUUGGUCAUUUCACAUCCUCAACUGUUAAACUGGAGGACAGCUCAGGAUUUAUAUGGGAAUCUCCUAAAGCAAGAGUAUGCUUAAGCAGGAAAAGGGGGUAACAGUGACUGAUGUCAGAUUUCUCACUAAGCUGAAGUGGUAAGUAUUAUGCUGCUAAGACUUCUGCUUUAUUUUCAAUUAAUUAAAAUUUGUUUCAGUCACAUGGUCUUAAUAUACUGUUCAUGAAUUCCAAAUCUUGCAAUAAUUUGUCUAAAUGCUUUUUGUCUCUUAACUUCAAAUCCAUUACCUGUGUAGUUUAUUGUGAUCUAUAAUUUUUACUGAUUGACCUUUAGUUAAGUAAGGGUG